UCCUUCGGGACCGAGCGGCGGACGGGUUAGUAACGCGUGGGAACAUACCCUUUUCUACGGAAUAGCCUCGGGAAACUGAGAGUAAUACCGUAUAAGCCCUUCGGGGGAAAGAUUUAUCGGGAAAGGAUUGGCCCGCGUUAGAUUAGAUAGUUGGUGGGGUAAUGGCCUACCAAGUCUACGAUCUAUAGCUGGUUUUAGAGGAUGAUCAGCAACACUGGGAUUGAGACACGGCCCAGACUCCUACGGGAGGCAGCAGUGGGGAAUCUUAGACAAUGGGCGCAAGCCUGAUCUAGCCAUGCCGCGUGUGUGAUGAAGGUCUUAGGAUCGUAAAGCACUUUCGCCAGGGAUGAUAAUGACAGUACCUGGUAAAGAAACCCCGGCUAACUCCGUGCCAGCAGCCGCGGUAAUACGGAGGGGGUUAGCGUUGUUCGGAAUUACUGGGCGUAAAGCGUACGUAGGCGGAUCAGAAAGUAGGGGGUGAAAUCCCAGGGCUCAACCCUGGAACUGCCUCCUAAACUCCUGGUCUUGAGUUCGAGAGAGGUGAGUGGAAUUCCAAGUGUAGAGGUGAAAUUCGUAGAUAUUUGGAGGAACACCAGUGGCGAAGGCGGCUCACUGGCUCGAUACUGACGCUGAGGUACGAAAGUGUGGGGAGCAAACAGGAUUAGAUACCCUGGUAGUCCACACCGUAAACGAUGAAUGCCAGUCGUCGGGCAGUAUACUGUUCGGUGACACACCUAACGGAUUAAGCAUCCG
rnacentral:rRNA from 1 species